rnacentral:rRNA from 1 species
UACGUAGAGUGCAAGCGUUAAUCGGAAUUACUGGGCGUAAAGCGUGCGCAGGCGGCUUUGCAAGACAGAUGUGAAAUCCCCGGGCUUAACCUGGGAACUGCAUUUGUGACUGCAUGGCUGGAGUGCGGCAGAGGGGGAUGGAAUUCCGCGUGUAGCAGUGAAAUGCGUAGAUAUGCGGAGGAACACCGAUGGCGAAGGCAAUCCCCUGGGCCUGCACUGACGCUCAUGCACGAAAGCGUGGGGAGCAAACAGG